GAACCGUACAAACGUUAUUCGGAAUCACUGGGCUUAAAGGGUACGUAGGCGGUUUGUUAAGCUGGGGUGUGAAAUCCCUCGGCUCAACCGAGGAACUGCGCCCAAAACUGGCAGACUAGAGGGAGACAGAGGUGAGCGGAACUUAGGGUGGAGCGGUGAAAUGCGUUGAUAUCCUAAGGAACACCAGUAGCGAAAGCGGCUCACUGGGUCUCUUCUGACGCUGAGGUACGAAAGCUGGGGGAGCGAACGGGAUUAGAUACCCCGGUAGUCCCAGCUGUAAACGAUGAGCACUAGGUCGGAGGACCCUGAGGUUUUCCGGCCGUAGCGAAAGUGUUAAGUGCUCCGCCUGGGGAGUAUGGUCGCAAAGGCUG
rnacentral:rRNA from 1 species